rnacentral:rRNA from 1 species
GGAAGGUGCACUUGGUAAAAU